rnacentral:rRNA from 1 species
AAUCUCUUAAAGCUUCUCUCAGUUCGGAUUGUAGGCUGCAACUCGCCUACAUGAAGCCGGAAUCGCUAGUAAUCGCGGAUCAGCACGCCGCGGUGAAUACGUUCCCGGGCCUUGUACACACCGCCCGUCACACCACGAGAGUUUGUAACACCCGAAGUCGGUGAGGUAACCUUUUGGAGCCAGCCGCCUAAGGUGGGAUAGAUGAUUGGGGUGAAGUCGUAACAAGGUAGCCGUAUCGGAAGGUGCGGCUGGAUCACCUCCUUUCUAAGGAA